AAGCCAUACCCAACCCAAAUCAACAACCUGCAACUACCCCAAUGUCUGUCCGCAAUCCCUUGGCCACUGCCUCGCCGAUCGGGGGACGGUCUCCGGCCAACUCCUCAGUCCACCGCUACCCCCGUUCCACUUAGCUGCUGACAAGGAGCAAAACCCAGAAGCCUUGAAGCCCGACGACGCCGUACGCGCCGCCGCUGGAGCGUCGGCAGCCUUAGCUCUGCCGUGAGCUACGUUGGUUCUAACUCCUCACUUGGUAAGCUACGUUUCACUCUUUACUCCUAGUAGAGUCCACUAUUUUGGAAUCGGUUGAGAUAGCUAACUAUGCUGUUUUGGGUAUAUGUGAGGUUUGGUGUUAAUCGGUUUUUGGGUACGAAAUGGAAUUGAGAAGCUAACGCAGCAUCAAUUACGGUUUAUUUGACCAGCAAUUGGAGUAGCAGAGGCUAGGGAGGAUUCGCAGAAGGUGAGCUUGGUGUGGAUGACAAUAUGAAGCUCAAAAGUCAUAAUUUUGGAAGAGGAUAGUGGUAUAAUGAAGAGCGAAGAGGAUGAGAUGAAUGAUCUUGAGGCAUUGCUAAGUAAGAAGACUUAUGAGGAGUUACAGAAGUCGAAAACUAGGGAGUAGCUUUUGGACCUUAUUCAUAGGCUAACUGAAAAGGAGACUGCUGUGGCGGCCAACAAGUGGGGAACUAGGGCUGGUCUGACUUACACAGCCGAGGAAAUUGAUGAGAUUUGAGGAGAGUGGGCAGAGCAUGUGUUACAGUUUCCGAACCAGUAAAAUCAGACUUGAUGUUGGUUUAUGGUAGUAUAGCUCAUACAUAAGGGUGCUGCUUUACUGCAUUAUAACUUUGGAACAUGAUAAAUAGUUAUGACUAGUAUGCCUAUUUUGUGGGUCUGAUGCCAACUAGGUAGCUAAGUUAUUCUAUGUUGAACAAAUUUACUUAUGCGCGCGAACGUAUAUUUUUGUUUAUAUAUGUUGUGUACUUGGAAAUGCCUACAAGGCUUUUGUUUAAUUUAAGUAGUAUGAUCUACAAGUUUAAUGCA